rnacentral:lncRNA from 1 species
CGUUCGGAAUCGAAAACCGUGCACCGUAGCACCUCAUCCGCUCGACUCCGGCGAGCUUCAGGCGGCCGGCCAUGGUGGCCACCGUGUUCUUCCCCGUAGCUGGCCUGUGCGCCGUCCCCUUCCUCUCUCUCUCUCUUUUUAUUUUUCUUUUAAUCCAGCGCGUUCAUCUGUGAUCCAACGGCCUACAAUGCCCCGUACCCCUUCGAGGGCAUUUUUGUUAAAGAGCCCCCCAGGAAUCCAUUUUCGCGCGCGCAGUCCUCGUCCAGAGGGAUUUUCUAGGAUUUAAUUUAUUUAUUUAAAUUCGUUUAAACUCUGCUUUAUUUAUAGAAUUGCCACCGCAUUAUUUUAGCUAUAAAAUCGUCGUUUGAACUCCGAAUCGAUCCGUUCAAGUUGCGUU